rnacentral:rRNA from 1 species
UACGGGGGGGUGCGAGCGUUGUCCGGAAUCACUGGGCGUAAAGGGCGCGUAGGUGGCCUGAUAAGGGUGUGGUGAAAGUCCGGGGCUCAACCCCGGAUCUGCCGUGCCGACUGUUGGGCUAGAGUACUGUAGGGGCAGGCGGAAUUCCGGGUGUAGCGGUGGAAUGCGUAGAGAUCCGGAGGAAGACCGGUGGCGAAGGCGGCCCGCUGGGCAGUGGCUGACGCUGAGGCGCGACAGCGUGGGGGAGCAAACAGGAUUAGAAACCC